AUCCUCGAUCUGUUGCGGGCAGAUAAAGUGGAUGUGGCUGUCAAAACCGCCCGCCGUUAGAAUGCGACCCUCUCCUGCGAUGGCCUCUGUCCCCGGACCGACAAUGAUAUUCACGCCGGGCUGCGUGUCGGGGUUGCCCGCCUUACCGAUCUUGUGGAUGCGCCCGCCUUUCAGACCCACGUCCGCCUUGUAGACGCCACUAUGGUCGACGAUCAGCGCAUUGGUGAUGACGGUAUCCACCGCCCCCCCGGCGCGCGUUGUCUGCGCCUGCCCCAUGCCGUCGCGGAU
rnacentral:sRNA from 1 species